ACAUGCAUACAACAUAGCGUUAAUGCAUCCUAUCCCAUUAGAACUCUGAAGUUAAGCGUGCUUAGGAUAGAGUAGUACUAGGAUGGGUGAUCAUCUGAGAAGUCUUAUUGUUUUACAUGCC
rfam:Picea glauca, whole genome shotgun sequence.